GCUGUAACAGGCUCUCCGGUGCGUCUUGGGCCGAUCCCUGACCGGCUGCCUGCGGCCUCGCCCACGCCGCGACAAGCGGGGUGAGAUACUUUCCCCCGUCUCUGGACGUUGCGUGUGGUGGAGGUCGUCAGGGCGNAUGGUCGAAGUUUAAUUUCCCCUNCAUGGGAGGGGGGGGCGCAGGCCCGGGACUUGCCAAGACGCCGCGGUGCUGUCCGUCCCCGGAAGCGGGCCGUCGGUAAACGGCGGAGGCGCACCGGGGCAGGCUCGCGGGCAGUCGGCNAGUACCAUGAGCAUAUAUGUUGGGACCCGAAAGAUGGUGAACUAUGCCUGGCCAGGAUGAAGCCAGAGGAAACUCUGGUGGAGGUCCGUAGCGAUUCUGACGUGCAAAUCGAUCGUCGGA
rnacentral:rRNA from 1 species